rnacentral:rRNA from 1 species
AUACGUAGGGGGCAAGCGUUGUCCGGAAUUACUGGGCGUAAAGAGCUCGUAGGUGGUUUGUCGCGUCGUCUGUGAAAUUCCGGGGCUUAACUCCGGGCGUGCAGGCGAUACGGGCAUAACUUGAGUACUGUAGGGGAGACUGGAAUUCCUGGUGUAGCGGUGAAAUGCGCAGAUAUCAGGAGGAACACCGGUGGCGAAGGCGGGUCUCUGGGCAGUAACUGACGCUGAGGAGCGAAAGCAUGGGUAGCGAACAGGAUUAGAUACCCUGGUAGUCCAUGCCGUAAACGGUGGGCGCUAGGUGUAGGGGUCUUCCACGACUUCUGUGCCGUAGCUAACGCAUUAAGCGCCCCGCCUGGGGAGUACGGCCGCAAGGCUAAAACUCAAAUGAAUUGACGGGG